CGGAGAUUCCAGCAUUGCACAAAUUGUUGCUGCUGUAAUUGGUGGAUUCGUGUUAGGGAUUCUGACAUGUCUUGCAGCUGUAUACGUUGUACAUAUACGGAGUAGGAGAAGGGAGAAAAAUCGAAAUACUGAAGCAAAAUUGGUGAACAACAUCAGCUAUGGAAAAGAAUUGCCAAUAAAUAUUCAAAUGGAUUCAAAGAACGUGCAUCAAGCGAAAAUUUCUCAUGUCAAACCUAUUAUCAAAGGGGAUCCAGAAUAUUCCAAUACACAUUCAGUAAAAUCAGAAACUAAUGAUAUUUACAAUCAUCUUAAUGAAAAAAUAGAUGACACUUUCGAUGUCUAUGACCACGCCGUAACAGGUGCCUCUGUGAUGUCAAAUGAAGGAGAGUAUACACAUCUGAGCAGAUGAUCAGGGCAGUCAACCAAUCCUCAGUCUAGAUUUGUUCCACAUAGUAACUAUGCUGUGUCUGAAACCCCUGAAGAUUAACAUGACUAUUUUA